rnacentral:rRNA from 1 species
GAUGAACGCUAGCGACAGGCCUAACACAUGCAAGUCGAGGGGCAUCGGGACGUAGCAAUACGUUGCCGGCGACCGGCGGAUGGGUGAGUAACGCGUAUGCAACCUACCCGUAGCAGGGGGAUAGCCCGUUGAAAGACGGAUUAAUACCCCGUAACACAGGGGCUCCGCAUGGAGAUUAUUGUUAAAGGGUCAUUUCUUUUAGAGGUGGUCCGGCUACGGAUGGGCAUGCGUUCCAUUAGGUAGUUGGUGUAGGUAACGGCUCACCAAGCCGACGAUGGAUAGGGGAACUGAGAGGUUGGUCCCCCACACUGGUACUGAGACACGGACCAGACUCCUACGGGAGGCAGCAGUGAGGAAUCUUGGUCAAUGGACGCAAGUCUGAACCAGCCAUGUCGCGUGAAGGAGGACGGCCCUAAGGGUUGUAAACUUCUUUUGCAGUGGAAUAAAGUUUGCCACGAGUUGGCGAUUUGCAAGUACGCUGCGAAUAAGGAUCGGCUAACUCCGUG